AAUGUGAGCAGCAGCGUGUACCCUACGCCAAAAGGCGCGGGAAAUCACUGAAAUGCUCAUUUAGUCGGGAUUAUGGAUUGAAAUGGUCCAUAUGAAC
rnacentral:rRNA from 1 species